GAUGACAUUCCACCUGCAGACGAGCAAGAUGGAAAAGCAUCAGAUAAUCCAAAAGUUACAUUAAUAUUAAAAUCACCAAAGUAAAAGAAGCUGAAUAAUGUAGAGCAUUAAAUUUGAACUGAGAAUAUUAUUGUCAAAAAUGAUCUUUUUCAUAAAAAUAAAUUUUAUGCCCCUCUCUCCUAAGAAAAUAGAAAUGCUAUUUCUGAGCACAAGCAACUCCAUGAACCCUAUCCUGGUUUCUCAAUAACUCCGACCACUAGAAGGAGACACGGCCAAUUUCAGAGCUGGGAUGAGGAACCUUCAACUGGGAAAAACAAGUUAACUGAUAUCAAAUACAACAAUAUAAAAACAAUUGAAUUCUGGUUAAAAAAAGAAGAGCUACAAAAGAUAUUUUGAUUAAGCAAUGAAAAAUUAAAAUAUGGACCGGAUACC
rnacentral:lncRNA from 10 species